ensembl:snRNA U1 U1 spliceosomal RNA
AUACUUACCUGGCAGGGAGAUACCAUGAUCACUAAGGUGGUUUUCCCUGGGCAAGGCGUAUGUAUUACACUCCGAAUGUGCUGACCCCUGUGAUUUCCCCAAAUGUGGGAAACCCAGCUGUGUAAUUUGUGGCAGUGGGGGACUGCGUUCUCGCUUUCCCCUG